GACGAACGCUGGCGGCGUGCUUAACACAUGCAAGUCGAACGGAAAGGCCCUGCUUUUGUGGGGUGCUCGAGUGGCGAACGGGUGAGUAACACGUGAGUAACCUGCCCUUGACUUUGGGAUAACUUCAGGAAACUGGGGCUAAUACCGGAUAGGAGCUCCUGCUGCAUGGUGGGGGUUGGAAAGUUUCGGCGGUUGGGGAUGGACUCGCGGCUUAUCAGCUUGUUGGUGGGGUAGUGGCUUACCAAGGCUUUGACGGGUAGCCGGCCUGAGAGGGUGACCGGCCGCAGUGGGGCUGAGAGACGGAGCAGAGGAGGCAGGGAGGCGGCAGGGGGGGAGAGUGCAGAGGGGGCGGGGGUGGGAGGCGGCAACGCCGCGUGCGGGAUGCGGGGCGUCGGGUAGGAGAAAGAUGUCGCCUGUGAAGAAGCGGGAGUGACGGGAGUGAGUAAAGAGGCACCGGCUAACUACGUG
rnacentral:rRNA from 1 species